AGAUGACUCAUUACCUCACAUCACCAGUUUCAUCUGACGGUUUCAGUAUGGAUCAGACCAGAGUGCCUGGUGAUGAUGUCAGCAGCAGCCUUUCUGAUGCACUCAGCCAAAGCAAUCAGAAAACCAUGGCACAAAGGAGCAAGUAUUCUAGUGAGGAGCAGAGGCCUUUCCAACUCCUUUCUAACACCUGAGCAUGCUGUGUCCAGUCUUGGAAUGCUGCUGUUUCACUGAUUCAACUGCCAUCGCUGAAGGAAGACUCCUGCAGAAACCAUAUGUAGUUUUGAGUGAAGGGUGCGUGAGCACUUGAAAAAAAAAAUCCAACAUUUCUUGGAGAAUUAUUUUGUUUUAUUACAGUACACGUGACAUUAGUUAGAGGCUGGGAAGCUUAAGAUAUUUGUAUCCCUAAGAAUAAAGUGGUUGAUGUAUUAUA